rnacentral:tRNA from 1 species
GCCUCCGUGGCGCAAUUGGCUAGCGCGUUCGGCUGUUAACCGAAAGGUUGGUGGUUCGAGCCCAUCCGGGGGCG